rnacentral:lncRNA from 1 species
CAUGAAAUGAAAUGAUGUUUCUAGCCAUUUCUGGCGAAUAGCAACAAUUGUUCAAAUCUAAAACCAAACUAUUCCUAAACACUAAAGAAUACACUCCAAUCUUGGUUACAGGCGACGAUCUUCUGUUCCCCAUGAUUAGAUUGAUCCUUCCUUGCUCCACAUCCCUACUUCUUCUUAGUCCCUGCACAUUAGAACAAAUGUGAUAACCACAACCGGUAUCAAGAACCCAAGAAAUAGCAUGAUUAGAAUCGUUAGAUUUGAUUGUGUAUAUACCUGCGAAAGAUGGCUUGAUCUUUCCUUCUUUGAUUGCUUGCAGGUACUCUGGGCAGCUUCUCUUCCAAUGUCCUAUCUUGUGGCAGUGGUGGCACUCUGCCUCCUUCGGGUUAGGACAGGGCUUAGCGGGAUCAACUUUGGUCCCACUAGAAGAGGCACCAUCUCGGGCCUUCGCCUUGCGAUAGUUCUUCGAUGAAGCUUUCCUCUUCUUUCCCUUCCCUUGACCAAUAGCCAAGACAGGAGCAGCGGAUGGAUUGGGAGUAGGUGCAACAGACUUGUCCUUGAAGUUGCUCUCAGCGACCCUCAAGAGACCUUGGAGUUUGCUUAGGGUGACCUCUUCUUUGUUCAUGUGGUAGGUCAUCCUAAAUUGGUUGUACAUCGGAGGCAAAGAGUGAAGCACCAUGUCGAUCGCCAAGUCUUCACCGAAGUCAACAUUUAACUUGCGAAGGCGGUCGACAUACCUUUGCAUCUUUUGCAGGUGCACGGUAAGAGAUUCUCCAUGACCCAUCUUAGCGGAAAUCAUGUUGGUGAAAAUCUCAUAACGCUCUUGUCUCGCGUUUUGGUGGUAUCUCUCCAAUAAGUCUUGGUGCAUCUCGUACGGGUACAUGUCCUCGUAGGACUUUUGGAAUUCGGAGUUCAUGGUGGCUAUCAUGAUGCAAUGUACCUUCGUUGCAUCUCGCUCAUGAGUUUCAAAGGCGGUGAUUUCGGCGGGAGUAGCAAUUUCGGGGUUGAUUUUCUCGAGCUUCUCAUCGAGGACAUACUCCUUAUCCUCAUAGCGAGCAAUGGUGCGAAUGUAUCUUAUCCAUUCGCUAAAGUUCGUUCCAUCGAAGGUGACCUUUUGGCAAAGGCUCAUCAACGUGAAAGAACUAGCAGCAGCGUUGUUUGCGUUCGACAUCUACAAUUAGAAAAGGACAAAGAUAGAUUAGAAUAAGAAUCCCUAAUUAUCACCCAAUAAGAAAAUUUAGGGCUAGGAUCCAACAAUAACAUUUACAUACUAGAAAAGGGAUGCCGUAAUCUAACAUGCAAAUAAAUUGAAGGUAAGUGAAUGACGAUUCACUAAUUCUCCAUCACAAAACUUAAACUAUUAGUCCUAAGUGUUUUUGAGAAUUCCUAGGUUCGGAUGAGAUUCAUUGAAACUAUUCAAUGGCAUGUUUAAAUCUCGAUAUGCCCCUCUUGUUUGUGACUGGGAUGCCGAGGAUCACAAAGCGGGUGUGAAUUACCAUGCAAAUUCACAUGGUGCCUUCAUUGUAACGAUCACCUAUUCGAUGUGCCGGUAAACCACACACGCUCCAUCGAACUAUGAUAAACAAUGAAUCACCCUUUGCCACCUUCGCUUAGAACCAAUUAGUGUGCCGGUAAACCACACACGCUCCACUAACAUCUUAGCAAGGUGCAAAGUGUAAUUUCAUGGGAUUGCAUCAAUUCACUUUUCCUAAAGUAACUAGGAUUGGGAAAUUUUAAAAAAAUAUGUAGUUACUUUAUAUUUCUUAUUAUACUUUUAAUGAGAGGAUGAGGUUGCCCUAUCCUACCCGUUCGGCUAACGACCCUCCACCAAUCAAGCAAGCGGUGGGUGUGAGUGUACACCCAUUAAGCGCCAUUUUAUAGGCCGCAACCUUAUACCCACCUUAUAGAUCGGCUUCGUGAAUGAGGCCUACUAACGGUAAGACUAGCAUUUAGUUAUACAUAUAUAUAUUAUUCUAGUAAUAUCAUAUUAGUAUAGGGUUGUAUUUUAAAACUUUUAAAAUCUAGGGUUUGAAAUUUAAGUUGUCUAAAUUAAAACUUUUAAUCACAAAAGUAAAUUUCAAAACAUGAGGGUAGGUUUUAAACAUUUAAAACAUGGAGGAUCAAAUAACAAAUAAUUCCAAUUAACAAUUAAUAUCCUAAUUAUCUAUAUUUGAUUUAUUCAAGAUUUCUUUUAAAGAUAAUUACCAAAAUAAUCAAAAUAAUUAAUUAAUUAUCAUAUAAGGAAAUUAAAUAUUUAAUUAGUUGAUAAUUACCUUUAACUAGAUCAAGAUAAUAGUUAUAUUUAUCAGAAAAACGAAUUAAUGUUGAUCUAAUUAGUUUAUGGUAAGUUAAGAUAAGAUAAACACAAAGAAAUCCCGAAUCUGGCCAUUCCUGACGCCUGGACUCGCCGAGUGCACAAAUGGACUCGCCGAGUCAGGCCUACUCGCCGAGUCCACUUUGAGACUCGCCGAGUCCAUGACUCAGAAACCAAAAAUUCGAAUUUUGCAGGUUUGUUUCAGUUAAUCAAGCAACAAUUUACAGAAAACCAAGCUAGGCUCUGAUACCACUGAUGGGUUUUAGCCAUAAGAACUUUCCUAUGUGCGCAUGCAAAACCCUAAUGCUUGGAUCUAGGCUUUCUAAUAAACAUGCUUUGAAUCCAAGACUUCUAAUUACUAAUUAGGUUAAACAAGAACAUUAAAACAGAUCUAGAAUCAUACCUUUGAGUUCCUUGUUGAUCUUGAGGUCUUGGAGCUUCUAGAGUCACAAAUGUCACUCCUCUAAUGGCUUACAAACACCAAAGCAAGGAGGAUGAUUUGGGAGAGAGGAGAGGGGAGGAAUUUCGACCAGAGGUUCCUUACUUUAGGUCAAGUGUCGAAUUCCAUCAGCCAUGGGGUCUAUUUAUACUUGUAGACUCCUUAAGGAUUACAGAUAAGUCCCUAUCAGAUAAUCUUCUCUUAAGGCUAUCCAAAUCCAUUCCUAGAUAACUCUAAUGGACGAUUUUAGCUAUCCUAAUCCUCUUAGAAUUCGUCCAUAGUAUAUCCAAAUGGAUUUACAGUUUAAAGCUUAACUAUCAAACAAUUGACAGUUUAUACCCCUUUAUUUAAUUAAUCUCUUUAAGUCACCAAAUUAAUUCUAAUUAAUUCUAUGACUUAUAUUAAUCAAAUAACAAAUAUAUUAUUCAUUAUAUUAUUCCCAUAAUAUAUUAAUAAUAUUUAUUCUCUCUUAAUAAAUCAUCCUAUCAAGUUGCUAUGGUGAAGGCAACCCAAAAGGACCAUGCACAACCGGAUAUAGUUACAGCCUUAGACACUAUUCCAACAGUCUCCCACUUGGAUAAGUCUAGUAACUAUACAAGUACAAUUCGGUUUGCAAUCGUAGCUCUCAAAGACGCUGUCAACUCUGAUCUAAUCAAUCUUGUCCUUUAGAUAAGGGAACGUACAGUCCUCUGUUAGAUAUCAUGCUGACAAUCCUAUGGAAUGGUUAGUCAAGCAUUUAGGUUUCUCGAUCUCUGAUUUAUUUGACAUAGAACUUAAUCGAACACAUCAAUUCAGUUCUGACCGGGCCCGGCACAUAAGUCAAAUCAAAUCAUCGAGCGGCCGAGAUAUCGCUUUUACCUUCUUAGAUAAAAGUUACAGAUAAACUUCGACUUAUAUGCAUUUACUUAUUCAUUAACCAACUAUACACAACAAUACGUUUUAUAACACCAAGUUACUGAUGCGUUUUCGUAUUAUCAAUGUACAAUCAAUUAACAAAUAAUAAACCAUAUAUCUAGGUUUUAAGACUAUAUGAUAUUAUCGUCUUGCGAUCACCUUUUAUAUCGUAUUCCAUAAGGUGAUUCCAGCAAGCGCGGGUUUAUUCCAAUGCUCAAAACUAGUUCAUAAGCACUCAUGAACGUUGCAGCAAUCCUUUGCUAUGUCUAACACCAUUUAGACAUUCUACACACCAAUUCAUGACAAUCUUCUUUCAUAUCUACUCCCAACAUAUGAACGAUUGUGGACCAUUUGAAUAAUUCGAUUAUUCCUAAUAAACUCAAUUAUUCUGGAAGUCAAAACAUGCAAAGUGAAACAAUAGCUAAACAAUUAACAUAAGAUAGUAACAUUACUCAUAAAUAAAACUCCUUUAUUUAAUCAUCAAAUGUCAAUUACAUUUAUCUAUUACACGUUUCUAAUACUAUCUAAUCUAUGCUAAUAUCAUCCUUCAGCCCAAUACUCCUAGCAUGCUGCAAGUGCUUAACCCUACUCAGUCCCUUCGUAAGCGGAUCUGCUGGGUUAUCUUCUGAUGAUAUCCUCUUCACUACGAGUUGUCCUUCUUCUACACGAUGUCUAAUGAAGUGAUACUUUCUGUCGAUAUGUCUUGAUCUACCAUGAUCCCUCGGUUCCUUGGUUAAGGCAACCGCACCUUCGUUAUCACAGAAAAUCUCCAUUGGCUCCUUUAUGGCAGGUACGACUCCAAGAUCACCGAUGAAGUUCUUUAGCCAUAUUGCCUCCUUCGACGCUUCGCUCGCUGCAAUGUACUCUGAUUCGCACGUUGAAUCAGCUACGGUUUCCUGCUUGGAACUCUUCCAUGUCACUGCUCCUCCAUUUAGGGUAAAGACCCAGCCCGACUGCGAACGGUAGUUGUCCCUGUCGGUCUGAAAACUGGCGUCACUAUACCCUCGCACCUUCAAGUCAUCACUCCCUCCGAGGACUAAGAACCAUUCCUUCGUCCUCCGAAGGUACUUAAGGAUAUUCUUCACCGCAAUCCAAUGUGCUUUGCCAGGAUUCCCUUGAUAUCUGCUAACCAUGCUCAAAGCGAAGGCUACAUCAGGGCGAGUACAAGUCAUAGCGUACAUGAUUGAGCCAACUGCGGAAGCGUAUGGUACUCGGCUCAUUUCUGCUAUCUCAGCUUCGGUACUCGGACUUUGAGUCUUACUCAAUUUGGCAUUACUUUGUAUCGGUAGUUCUCCCUUCUUUGAGUUUUCCAUACUAAAACGUUUUAGUACCUUCUCUAAGUAAGUAUUCUGACUAAGUCCAAUUAGUCUCUUACUUCUUUCUCUUACUAUCCUUAUUCCCAAAAUGUAAGAAGCCUCUCCGAGGUCCUUCAUAGCGAAGCACUUCCCGAGCCAGGACUUAACCUCCUGCAGAGUCGGGAUGUCGUUUCCUAUGAGUAAUAUGUCAUCGACAUAUAGAACGAGGAAGCUUACUAUACUCCCACUGGCUUUGACAUAUACACAAGAUUCGUCUUCGCUUCGUACAAAUCCAAACUCUUUGACUUUCUCAUCGAAGCAAAGAUUCCAUCUGCGAGACGCUUGCUUAAGUCCAUAAAUGGACUUCUCAAGCUUACACACUCUAUUCGGAUGCUUCGGAUCCACAAACCCCUCUGGCUGAGCCAUGUAAACAUCCUCAGCCAACUUUCCGUUAAGGAAAGCGGUCUUGACAUCCAUUUGCCAAAUCUCAUAAUCAUGAAAUGCGGCAAUUGCUAGCAUCACUCUAAUAGAUUUAAUCUUCGCAACUGGUGAGAAGGUCUCAUCAUAGUCAACUCCGGGAGUUUGAGUAAAGCCCUUCGCAACCAAUCGCGCUUUAUAUGUGUGUACGUUUCCAUCCACGUCGGUCUUCUUCUUGAAGAUCCAUUUGCACCCAACGGUCUUACGUCCGGGCACAUAAUCAACCAAAUUCCAAACUUGGUUAUCAUACAUGGAUUGGAUCUCGCUAUCCAUUGCCUCUUUCCAUUUUGCAGACUCCGGGCCUGCCAUGGCUUCCUUAUAGCUAUUAGGUUCAUCAAGAUUUAUUAGUGUACCAUCACUAAUAUACGUGUCCCCUUCGGUAGUAAUAUGAAAACCAUAAAACUGGGGUUGAACUCUAACUCUAUCGGAACGUCUAAGAGGUAAGGAUUCGUCAAUCGGUUCAACCGGAGUUUCCUCCUCGGGUUGAGUGCCAGCGGUAGAGGUUCCUUCAUCUAUCGACUCUUGAAUCUCUUCAAGCUCGAUUUGCCUCCCACUGUCUCCUUGGCUUAUGAGUUCUCGCUCUCGGAAAACUCCUCUCCUCGCAACGAAGACAACAUUGUCCUUCGGUCUAUAGAAGAGAUAUCCAAAGGAUGUCUGCGGGUAGCCGAUGAAAAUACAUCGCUCACUUCGAGGUUCAAGCUUGUCGUGAGUAUCUCGUCUUACGAAAGCCUCGCAACCCCAAACCUUGAUAUGUGCCAACGAGGGAGCUUUCCCUGUCCACAUCUCGUGAGGUGUUUUGGCAACCUUCUUAGUAGGGACUCGGUUAAGGAUAUGGGCGGCAGUCUCUAAGGCAUACCCCCAAAAAGAGAUAGGUAGUGAAGCACGACUCAUCAUAGAGCGAACCAUAUCCAAUAAGGUUCGAUUACGCCUUUCUGCCACACCAUUCAACUGCGGUGUCCUAGGAGGCGUCAAUUGCGAAACUAUUCCACACUCCUUGAGAUAAUCGUGGAAUUCAAGACUUAGGUACUCUCCUCCUCGAUCGGAUCGAAGCAUCUUGAUUUUCCUGCCCAAUUGAUUCUCCACUUCAUUCUUGAACUCUUUGAACUUUUCAAAGGUGUCUGACUUUUGCUUGAUUAAGUAGAUAUACCCAUAUCUACUAUAGUCAUCGGUAAAAGUCACAUAGAAGCGGUUCCCAUCCUUCGUGGUUGAUCUAAACGGUCCACAUACAUCGGUAUGUAUUAGGUCCAAUAGACCCUCGCCCCUUUCACAUGUACUCGUGAAGGGUGACUUAGUCAUCUUUCCAAGCAAACAAGACUCGCAUGUGUCAUCUUCCCUAAGGUCGAAUGACUCCAACACUCCAUCCUUUUGGAGUUGGGCUAUGCGUUUCUUGUUGACAUGUCCAAGACGACAAUGCCACAAGGAUGCUUUAUCCAUACUAGUGGAAGAAUCAAUAUUCAAAACAUCAUUUCCUAAGUUAUCAACAAUCAUAACGGUUUCAUAUAUUCCAUUACAUGGUAUAGCUUCAAAGUAAAAGACACCAUUUAGAUAAGCCAAAAUAGAACCAUUCUCAUUAUUAAAAGAAAAUCUAAAUCCUUGUCUAUAUAAACCAUGAAAUGAAAUGAUGUUUCUUGCCAUUUCUGGCGAAUAGCAACAAUUGUUCAAAUCUAAAACUAAACUAUUCCUAAGCACUAAGGAAUACACUCCAAUCUUGGUCACAGGCGACGAUCUUCUGUUCCCCAUGAUUAGAUUGAUCCUUCCUUGCUCCACAUCCCUACUUCUUCUUAGUCCCUGCACAUUAGAACAAAUGUGAUAACCACAACCGGUAUCAAGAACCCAAGAAAUAGCAUGAUUAGAAUCGUUAGAUUUGAUUGUAUAUAUACCUGCGAAAGAUGGCUUGAUCUUUCCUUCUUUGAUUGCUUGCAGGUAAUCCGGGCAGCUUCUCUUCCAAUGUCCUAUCUUGUGGCAGUGGUGGCACUCUGCCUCCUUCGGGUUAGAGCAGGGCUUGGCGGGAUCAACUUUGGUCCCACUAGAAGAGGCACCAUCUCGGGCUUUCACCUUGCGAUAGUUCUUCGAUGAAGCUUUCCUCUUCUUUCCCUUCCCUUGUCCAAUAGCCAAGACAGGAGCAGCGGGCGGAUUGGGAGUAGGUGCAACAGACUUGUCUUUGAAGUUGCUCUCAGCAAC